rnacentral:rRNA from 1 species
CUGACUWGAGUUCGGYAGGGGAGACUGGAAUUCCUGGUGUAGCGGUGAAAUGCGCAGAUAUCAGGAGGAACACCGGUGGCGAAGGCGGNUYUYUGGGCCGUUACUGACGCUGAGGAGCGAAAGCGUGGGGAGCNAACAGGAUUAGAUACCCUGGUAGUCCMCNCCGUAAACGUUGGGCNCUAGGUGUGGGNNUCAUUCCACGGNWUCCGUGCCGUAGCUAACGCAUUAAGYGCCCCGCCUGGGGAGUACGGCCGCAAGGCUAAAACUCAAAGGAAUUGACGGGGGCCCGCACAAGCGGCGGAGCAUGUGGA